GUCUAUAGCCAUACCACCUUGAGUGCCCCUGAGCCCCUGAUCUUGUCUAGUCUUGGAAGCUAAACAGAGUCCAGCCUGGUUAGUACUUGGAUGGGAGACCACCUGGGUCUACUGGGUGCUAUAAACU
rnacentral:rRNA from 1 species